rnacentral:rRNA from 1 species
CAGUCGCCGCGGGAAUACGAAGGGUGCAAGCGUUACUCGGAAUUACUGGGCGUAAAGCGCGCGUAGGUGGUGGUUUAAGUCCGUUGUGAAAGCCCUGGGCUCAACCUGGGAACUGCAUCCAAAACUGGCAAGCUAGAGUAUGGUAGAGGGUGGUGGAAUUUCCUGUGUAGCGGUGAAAUGCGUAGAUAUAGGAAGGAACACCAGUGGCGAAGGCGACCACCUGGACUGAUACUGACACUGAGGUGCGAAAGCGUGGGGAGCAAACAGGAUUAGAUACCCGUGUAGUCCCUGUCUCUUAUAC